UACAUAGGGUGCAAGCGUUAAUCGGAAUUACUGGGCGUAAGGCGUGCGCAGGCGGUCGUGCAAGACAGAUGUGAAAUCCCGGGCUCAACCUGGGAACUGCAUUUGUGACUGCACGGCUGGAGUGCGGCAGAGGGGGAUGGAAUUCCGCGUGUAGCAGUGAAAUGCGUAGAUAUGCGGAGGAACACCGAUGGCGAAGGCAAUCCCUGGGCCUGCACUGACGCUCAUGCACGAAAGCGUGGGGAGCAAACCGG
rnacentral:rRNA from 1 species